GAGUAUCACCGACUGAUUGGCUGUUGAUUAGAAAACAUAGCAUUUCCAUGUUUAAUUAUACGCAAAAAUUAGUUCUCUAGGGGGAGUGUCCACAUUCAUCAAGUUGAGAGACACAUGAAUGCGUUGACUUUUCUUCCCUUCGACUUGUUCUACUUGGUUUCAGAGUCUGGAGACAGCAUAGGGGAUCCCUGCUGACCCUCUGCCUCUCACUGGCACGUCACAGAAAGUCCAGGAUUUCUAUCUUGUCCGUGAGAAGGAGUGCAAGCAGUGUGUUUAGGGCUUAGGGUACCUUUCCUAGGAUUGCUGGAAGUCACUCAGCAGACCUCAAGUGUCACAGCCAAAUAGACUCCCCCUCUCUAAGUAUCUUCUGAUGGAGUUAGCAAAUCUCACCCUGCAUGAAAUGGGGUAAAACCCCACACAUGAGGACCAGUAAAUGCCCCAUGUCCAGUUACUUGAUUUUACAAAUAUAAGGGCACCCCUCUCCAAGAUCUACCUGAGUCCGUCUCUCUGUUCUCUGUUUUCAGGCCUCGCGGUCCAUCUUACUUUUCUUUGUGCUACAUUUUGUGUGCUUGUUUAUUGACUAAAUGGCCUGGAUAUUUCCGUAAUAACUAAAAGGGAAAUGCAAAUCAGCACACAUCCCAUUGGUCCACCAUCUCAAAGAUUUUAGAGCAGCCCUAUCAUUGAUUGUGCUCUGAUAUG
rnacentral:lncRNA from 1 species